rnacentral:other from 1 species
AACAGCCUGCGGUGUUGGUGAACUUCGAGUUUAAUUCGAACCGAACACCAAUUCACAAGGGAGCUUUAGAUUAAAGUAUGUACAACAUGCCUACACCUUUUUUACUUAGCUUGUAGGAAGUUGGAAGUACUUUUGCGGGCACCCACCUGCUUAAGGGCGGGUUCGUGAAAUCGAGAAGAUAACCGCAUCUGCGGGCAGCUC